rfam:Asian citrus Psyllid, Diaphorina citri - Florida Strain, whole genome shotgun sequence.
GCCUAGUUAGCUUAGUUGGUAGUGCGUCUGCCUUGUGGGCGCUAGGCCGCGGGUUCGAUUCCCGCCCGGGGCA